rfam:Eucalyptus grandis cultivar BRASTZ1 unplaced genomic scaffold scaffold_4999, whole genome shotgun sequence.
GGGUGCGAUCAUACCAGCACUAAUGCACCGGAUCCCAUCAGAACUCCGAAGUUAAGCGUGCUUGGGCGAGAGUAGUACUAGGAUGGGUGACCUCCUGGGAAGUCCUCGUGUUGCACCCC